GCCGGUGUAGCUCAGUGGUAGAGCAGCUGUCUUGUAAACAGCAGGUCGUCGGUUCAAGCCCGACCACCGGCUCCA
rnacentral:tRNA from 1 species